CCUACGGGUGGCAGCAGUGGGGAAUCUUGGACAAUGGGCGCAAGCCUGAUCCAGCUAUUCCGCGUGUGGGAAGACGGCCUUCGGGUUGUAACCCCCUUUUGUAGAGGACGAAAAGUCCGUUGAUUAUACCUCUCGACGCUGACGGUACUCUACGAAUCAGCACGGUCUAACUACGGGCAAGCAGCCGCGGUGAUACGGAGGGUGCGAGCGUUAGUCGGAAUGACUGGGUGUAAAGGGUGUGCAGGCGGGUUAGUAAGUUGGAUGUGAAAGCCCCGGGCUUAACCUGGGAAAGGCAUAUAUGACUGCAAGACUAGAGUGCGGCAGAGGUGGGUGGAAUUCCAAGUGUAGCAGUGAAAUGCGUAGAGAUUUGGAAGAACACCGAUGGCGAAGGCAGCCCGCUGGGACGUAACUGACGCUGAUACACGAAAGCGUGGGGAGCAAACAGGAUUAGAUACCCUUGUAGUC
rnacentral:rRNA from 1 species